CACGCUGUCAGUAAGUUGGUGUGUGACUUGCAGGAAUACGAGAAAAUGUCACACCUCAUUGUCUUUGUCCACAGAGGCGUCCAGCAAAUAUCUGCACUCGUUUUGGCAGUAAUUGGUUUCUUGCUGUUGCUAAUGAAUCUGUAUGUGGCUUGGCCCUGUUACCAAAAUAAUUUGAGAGAUUGGUUAUGCUUUGAGGCUUUGUUUUCAGACUUGCGCUGCUGUCUCUGCAGAGGCUUCAUUGCGCUUGAAAACAAGACAUUUAUCAUUGAGCCGGUGUCUGGGCAUGACAACGGUGCCCACUUCAUCUACCGAGUGGAAGAACUCGCACUGACCCCAGGAGCCUGCGGCCACGGCUUCAACAUGUCCUCUGUUGCCCCUGAAAACCACAGCAAAAGCCCCUUUCAAUCCUUCCACACGAGGCAUAAAAGGCAGGUUCAGAAGACAACCAAGUACGUUGAGCUGAUCAUUGUUGCAGACAACAGAGAGUUUCAGAAACAGGGGAGGGAUGUGGAGAAGGUGAAACAGAGACUGGCAGAGAUAGCCAAUUACGUGGACAAGUUCUACAGGGCCCUGAACAUCCGGGUGGCCCUGGUGGGUCUGGAGGUGUGGAGUGACACUGAUAAAUGCCCAAUCACCCAGGAUCCCUUCACCACCCUGCACGAGUUCCUAGAUUGGAGGAAAGUCAAACUGUUGCCCCAGAAACCUCACGACAAUGCUCAGCUCAUAAGCGGGGUUUACUUCCAGGGCACCACCAUUGGCAUGGCGCCCAUUAUGAGCAUGUGCACAGCUGAGCAAUCUGGAGGAAUUGUCAUGGAUCACUCUGAGAACCCACUGGGUGCAGCCGUGACUUUGGCACACGAGCUUGGACACAAUUUUGGGAUGAACCACGACACCCCGGAGCGCGGCUGUGGCUGCAGGAUGACAGUUGACCGUGGAGGCUGCAUCAUGACCCCCUCCACAGGGUAUCCAUUCCCAACAGUGUUCAGUACAUGCAGUAAGAAGGACCUUGCUGCCAGUCUGGAGAAAGGCGUGGGCAUGUGUUUGGACAACAUGCCUGAGGUAAAGGUGCUCUACGGUGGCCAGAAGUGCGGCAACGGCUACGUGGAGGAGGGAGAAGAGUGUGACUGCGGGGAGCCAGAGGAAUGUAUGAACCCAUGCUGUAACGCCACCACAUGCACCCUUAAGGGAGACGCUGUGUGCGCCCACGGACAGUGCUGUGAAGACUGCAGGCUGAAACCAGCUGGCACCAUGUGUCGAGAUUCUAGUAACUCAUGUGACCUGCCAGAGUUUUGUACUGGUGCAAACCCUCACUGCCCAGCCAACGUUUAUCUGCAUGAUGGACAUGCCUGCCACAGCGUUGAAGGCUACUGCUACAAUGGCAUCUGCCAAACUCAUGAGCAACAAUGCAUCACCCUGUGGGGACCAGGGGCCAAGCCUGCCCCUGGGAUAUGCUUUGAGCGAGUCAACUCCGCAGGUGAUCCUUAUGGGAACUGUGGGAAGGACUCCAAAGGCUCCUUUGCCAAAUGUGAUGCAAGGGACGCAAAAUGUGGCAAAAUUCAGUGCCAGGGAGGAGCCAACCGGCCAGUGAUCGGAACAAACGCUGUUUCCAUUGAAACCAACAUCCCGCUUCAAGAAGGAGGGCGAAUCCUGUGUCGAGGAACUCAUGUUUAUCUGGGCGAUGACAUGCCUGAUCCUGGGCUGGUUCUGGCUGGUACAAAGUGUGGAGACGGCAUGGUGUGCCUGAAUCGCGAGUGCCAGAAUGUCAGUGUCUUUGGUGUGCAUGAGUGCUCUGGGAAGUGCAAUGGACGUGGGGUGUGCAACAACAAGAUGAACUGCCACUGUGAAGCACACUGGGCCCCUCCGUUCUGUGGGAAAGCAGGCUUCGGUGGGAGCAUCGACAGUGGGCCAAUGAGACUAGCAGCCGACAGUGUGGUCAUUACUGUGGCAAUCCUGGUUACCCUGGUCAGCCUUCUGGUAACCACCGUCAUCAUCUUUCUGAAGAGAAAGACUCUGCUGCGCCUCAUCUUCACCAAUAAGAAAAGCACCUUGGAGAAACUCAGGCCAACCAGCCCCAUCAGGACUCCGUCAAUGUACAGGCCCACCCCACAGCGCAAGCCUCCACCCAAACCCUCUGCAGCCAACAUUUAUAAGGUGAGUCACUCCCUACAAUAA
ensembl:lncRNA